rnacentral:rRNA from 1 species
CCUACGGGUGGCUGCAGUGGGGAAUAUUGGACAAUGGGGGCAACCCUGAUCCAGCCAUGCCGCGUGUGUGAAGAAGGCCCUCGGGUUGUAAAGCACUUUCAGUGAGGAAGAACGCCUGGUGGUUAAUACCCGUCAGGAAAGACAUCACUCACAGAAGAAGCACCGGCUAACUCCGUGCCAGCAGCCGCGGUAAUACGGAGGGUGCGAGCGUUAAUCGGAAUUACUGGGCGUAAAGCGCGCGUAGGUGGCUUGAUAAGCCGGUUGUGAAAGCCCCGGGCUCAACCUGGGAACGGCAUCCGGAACUGUCAAGCUAGAGUGCAGGAGAGGAAGGUAGAAUUCCCGGUGUAGCGGUGAAAUGCGUAGAGAUCGGGAGGAAUACCAGUGGCGAAGGCGGCCUUCUGGACUGACACUGACACUGAGGUGCGAAAGCGUGGGUAGCAAACAGGAUUAGAUACCCCAGUAGUC